GAUCAUGGCUCAGGAUGAACGCUGGCGGCGUGCCUAACACAUGCAAGUCGAGCGGAGAUGUUUGGAAUGAGAGCUUCGGCAGGAUUUUCUUAUAUCUUAGCGGCGGACGGGUGAGUAACGUGUGGGCAACCUGCCCUAUAGUGGGGAAUAAUCAUUGGAAACGAUGACUAAUACCGCAUACGGUCCUUGGAGGGCAUCCUCCGAGGAAGAAAGGAUUGAUUCGCUAUAGGAUGGG
rnacentral:rRNA from 1 species